GUGUGUGAGGUUGUAGACUUGCCACCAAAUGUCAAUGCACAGAACAGCCUUUUACACGAAACCCUUGUCAAUCGAUAAGAAUAGUAUCCAAAAAAAAAGCAAAGCUCUGAGAUCCCCUCGGACCGCCCGUGUCGGCGGCUAACCCAGCCCAGCCUCUCCUCCGUGGCGCCGUCAGAAGACCUGGCGCUCUCGGUCUGCGGCAGCCUCGCGUGCAGGUGGGCCCCGCCAGGACCAGACCGCGGCAAGGACGCCCGCCGGGCCGGCACAGCCAGGAAUGCGCCCUGGCGGUUGGCUCUGUAGUGGCCCUAAGCUUUUUCUUGGCAGUGGUUAGAAUAACCCCGGCGCCUGGGGGGCCGGGGGAGGGGGGGUCUAAGGAAACUGCACCAGGAAACAGAUGCGCGGCUCGCUCUCCCUGGAGAGAAGAUGAUCCCAGGCGGUUGGCGGCCCCGCGAGCUGGCCUCCGCCGUGUGCGUCUGCGGGGCUCCCGUGUCCAGGCCCCGGCUCAGCGCGUGUCCUUCCUGCUCUCUUGGCUGCCCUGGCCUCUGAGGGAUUUGGGGCUGGCCAGUGGAGAGCUCCGUAAGAACAUUCCAGAGCCGCCUCCAGAGAGCAUGGUGGGAAUGCUGUGGCGGCGAGGGGGGGGGGCUGAGAAAGGGAUCGGGCCCUGGAGUGGCUUUGGGCUCCUGAGUCCACGUGCGGCCAGAUGGUGGGCAGCACGGGGUCUCCUGGGGGCCACGGCGGAUCUGCGCUUCCCACGUUUCUGAGUCGUGCCCAGCCGGCUCCGGGAGGCCAUGGGGGUCGGUGCCACCCCCCUCUCACCGAGCAGACGGUGCCCGUGCCCCGGGUUCCUGGUCAACACCAGAGUCCCCAGGAGCGGGGCUCUUGGGUCCAGACGGACGCCUGACUACAUCCCACAACUCCAGGCCCCAGCCUGACCAGCUCAGCCGACUGGGCCGCCCCCCAUCCUGGAGCCAGUUCAGGGGCCUGGGGUCCGGGUCCACGGACACUGUGGACAUGCACAGAUGGAGGGUGGGGCCCGUCCUCCCACAGGGACCUUGGCGGAGGCGGACGCCUCACGAGGACCCGUCUCUCCAAGUCCCACGACAGACCCCCUUCCGAUCUUUCUGUGGAAUCACCUCAAGAAGCUCUUCGAUUCUUUUGUCAAGUCCUGGGUCAGCAGAACUGCUCAGAGGCUGCCGAGGCUCAGGGACACCAGGAAGCCGCACCAAGCUCCGUGCUGGCCGGGUGGAGGCGGUGCCACACAUGCACGCAUGCACGGGUGCGCUCGGGCACGCAAGCGCGCGCGCACACACACACACACAUGCUCACACACGCAAGUGCUCGGUCGUGAGACAGGCUGGGGUACAGACAAGUGGGUUCAGGCCAGCAGGAGCCCCAAGGACACAGGCGACCGGCAGUGGGGCCGAGCCUGGCUACUCAUGCCAGCUGGCUGGGCCCUGGGGACCUGAGAACCUUCACCUCGGUGUCCUUGCCAAGUCGCCCUUGUACCUUCAGGCCUCUGGCUGGUCAUCUUGAAAUGACCAGGGUCCCACCAGAUGGGCGUCUGUGGUUGCCAGCCCCACCCCAGGGUCGUGGAGACCCCAACUCUGCAAGGGUACAGCAGCCGCCUCCUCCCUGGGUCCCUGGCCAGUGGUGGGGCUAACACAGUCCUCAAGGUGGAACCCUGCCCAGAAUUGAGAGGGAGCCGCUCCCCUGGAGGUGCCACGGCCCCCUGCUCCCCGUGGGCUCCUCACAUGGCUGUGGGGGCUGGUCUUCAGGCUGCCUGUCCUUCCGCCCUGCUCAUCUCUGGGUUGAGUCGCGACGUGCAAACUCACAUUCAGUAGCAGGAGGUGCAGAGACCCUGAAGCAGCUUUGAGGGAUUAAUGCCAGGAAGGUGAGACGCUGGGGCCACAGGACGCUUUGCUGCCUGACUGCCUCAGAACAUGCUUCGGGGUUUAGUAU
rnacentral:lncRNA from 9 species